rnacentral:rRNA from 1 species
AUCGCAUUUCUUAGUUAAAAGAUUAAUCCAUGCAAGUGUCUGGCAUUAUAUAAGUAAUGCCUGCAGAUGGCUCAUUAAAACAGAGAUAAUCGAACCUCGGAGACAUACGGAUAACUAUGCUAAUUGUGUGGCUAAUACGGGAUAUCAUCAUAUGAUUGCCCCUAUUAUUUAUGCGCUAUUAACUCGAUUGUAUAUAGGGUGUGUAGACAUUUGUCUAUUGAGGACGAGUCUCUGAUCUAUCAGCUGUGGACGGUUGUGUAUUGGACAACCGUGGCUUUGACGGAUAACGGGGAAUUAGGGUUCGGUUCCGGAGAGAACGCAUGAGAAUCGGCGUUCACAGCUAAGGUUGGCAGCAGGAGCGAAAACUUUUCGAAUAGGCAUCGCCUGAAAAGGUGACUAUCGGUAUCGACAACUACUUUUAGUAAUUGAUUGGAAUGAGAGACUAUUAGAAUUGGUCUUGAGUAGCAAGUUCAGGGCAAGUCUGGUGCCAGCAGCCGCGGUAAUACCAGCUGAGCUAGAUAUGGGUAACAUUGUUGCAGUAAAAACGUACGUAGUCACUGCCAUCCAUUUUACAGAUCCUUGUGAUGUUGUGAUGGGAUACAAGUUCCUUUUUUUGGAGCAAAAUCCGCGAUUAAACUAGAACGAUAAACUUGAAUGUUGAAUAUGACAGCGUGGGAAUCUUUUUGAUGCCAGUUACUGAGAUGCAAUCUUAGUGAUAGGGAUAUACUGUAAGAAUGAAUGAGGGCAUCAGUACUUAAUAGCUAGAGGUGAAAUUCCUAGAUUUGUUAAUGACUAGCUACCGCGAAAGCAUUUGCCUAAUCCAUUUUUGGUGAUCAAGUACUAAAGAGUGGGGAUCGAAGAGGAUUAGAUACCCUCGUAGUCCACUCCCUAAACGAUGCCAACUAGAGGUUGGUCUACGUAUUAUAAACUUUAUCAGAACCUUAGCAGAUAUGAAAGUCUUUGGGCUCUGGGGGGAGUACGGUCGCAAGGUCGAAACUUAAAGGAAUUGACGAAACGGCACCACCAGGGGUGGAGCGUGCGGCUUAAUUUGACUCAACGCGGGAAACCUUACUAAGGUAAGACAUUGUUAUGAUUGACAGAUUACUUGAUCUUUCUUGAUUUGGUGGGUGGUGGUGCAUGGCCGAUCUUAGUUGGUGGGGUGACCCGUCUGGUUAAUUUCGAUAACGAACGAGAUCCGAGCUGCUUAGUUGGCAAGAUUUGCUUUGCAUAUUUCAGCCUCCUAUGCGGACUGUCAGUUUCAGGCUGAAGGAAGUUUCGGGCUAAAUCAGGUCUGUGAUGCCCUUAGACACUUUAGGCGGCACGCGCGCUACAAUGGAUGGUAGAACGUGUCACGAUCUUUUAGGAAAAGGUGUGAAACACGAAUACUCUCCGUGAAUGGGAUAGUUUGUUGCAAUUUUCGGACUUAAACUAGGAAUCCCUUGUAAACAUGCUCGAGAAUAGCGUGUUGAAUACGUCCCUGCCGUUUGUACACACCGCCCGUCGUUUCUUCCAACUGAUACUCAUUGUGAGUUGCAAGGAUUCAUUUUUGAAGAAUUGCUGCGAACGCUUUGUAUUGGAGGAAGAAAAAGUCGUAACAAGGUUAUCGUAGGUGAACCUGCGAUAGGAUCAUUA